rnacentral:lncRNA from 1 species
GGAGCUUCUCUUUGUCUUCGUCAACUUUCAAAUUGAUAGUCAUUUUCUUUGGUUGGAUGAAUUAAUUGAUAUAGUCAUCUUUCAAUAACUUAGAUUGUGAUUGAAAUUCAAUAUGCAAAAAUGAUAGAAACAGAAAGUGCAAAUGAGUGGUUGGAAGGUACUUGUACUUGUGGAAGGAUAAGGGUGAUGGCAAAUAUGAUUUUUUACUGAAGAAGCUUGAUAAUUAAUAUAUUAUUACAAACUUUAUCUAUAUGUGUCAUAAGCUUGAUUUGAUGUGAUGAACGAUAUAAUUUCAUGUUGCAUGUAGUAUGGGA